CUACGGGUCGCAGCAGUGGGGAAUAUUGGACAAUGGGGGAAACCCUGAUCCAGCAAUGCCGCGUGUGUGAAGAGGGCCUGCGGGUUGUAAAGCACUUUCGGUUGGGAGGACUGCUUCUAGCACUAAUAUUGUUGGAAGUUGACGUUACCUUCAGAAGAAGCACCGGCUAACUCCGUGCCAGCAGCCGCGGUAAUACGGAGAGUGCAAGCGUUAAUCGGAAUUACUGGGCGUAAAGCGCGCGUAGGCGGCUAGAUCAGUCGGGUGUGAAAGCCCCGGGCUUAACCUGGGAACUGCAUCCGAUACUGUCUAGCUUGAGUACAGGAGAGGAGAGUGGAAUUCCACAUGUAGCGGUGAAAUGCGUAGAUAUGUGGAGGAACACCAAUGGCGAAGGCAGCUCUCUGGCCUGAUACUGACGCUGAGGUGCGAAAGCGUGGGGAGCAAACAGGAUUAGAUACCCCCGUAGUC
rnacentral:rRNA from 1 species